UCGAACGAGAAAGUGGAGCAAUGCAUGAGUAAAGUGGCGUACGGGUGAGUAACACGUGGGUAAUCUACCUUCUGGUGUGGAAUAACCCUGGGAAACCGGGGCUAAUACCGCAUAAUCCCGAGAGGGGAAAGGUGAAAAUCGCCGGAAGAGGAGCCCGCGGCCGAUUAGCUAGUUGGUGAGGUAACGGCCCACCAAGGCAGAGAUCGGUAGCCGGCCUGAGAGGGCACACGGCCACACUGGCACUGAAACACGGGCCAGACUCCUACGGGAGGCAGCAGUGGGGAAUCUUGCACAAUGGGGGAAACCCUGAUGCAGCGACGCCGCGUGAGCGAUGAAGCCCUUCGGGGUGUAAAGCUCUUUCGGCAGGGAAGAUUAUGACGGUACCUGCAGAAGCAGCUGCGGCUAACUACGUGCCAGCAGCCGCGGUAAUACGUAGGCAGCAAGCGUUGUUCGGAGUUACUGGGCGUAAAGGGUGUGUAGGCGGUUGCUUAAGUUUGGUGUGAAAUCUCCCGGCUCAACUGGGAGGGUGCGCCGAAUACUGAGUGACUAGAGUGCGGGAGAGGAAAGUGGAAUUCCUGGUGUAGCGGUGAAAUGCGUAGAUAUCAGGAGGAACACCGGUGGUGUAGACGGCUUUCUGGACCGUAACUGACGCUGAAACACGAAAGCGUGGGUAGCAAACAGGAUUAGAUACCCUGGUAGUCCACGCCCUAAACGAUGCAUAUUUGGUGUGGGCAGUUCAGUCUGUCCGUGCCGGAGCUAACGCGUUAAAUAUGCCGCCUGGGGAGUACAGUCGCAA
rnacentral:rRNA from 1 species